rnacentral:rRNA from 1 species
GUGCCAGCCGCCGCGGUAACACCGGCAGCUCGAGUGAUGGCCGAUUUUAUUGGGCCUAAAGCGUCCGUAGCCUGCCGUACGGGUCCGUCGGGAAAUCCGCCCGCUCAACGGGCGGCCGUCCGGCGGAACCUGUGUGGCUUGGGACCGGAAGGCUCGAAGGGUACGUUCGGGGUAGGAGUGAAAUCCCAUAAUCCCGCACGGACCACCGAUGGCGAAAGCACUUCGAGAAAACGGAUCCGACAGUGAGGGACGAAAGCCAGGGUCUCCAACCGGAUUAGAAACCCUGGUAGUCC